rnacentral:lncRNA from 1 species
GUCUUUUAUGGAAAUCAAACGUUUUAUCUGUACGGGCCCGUAUGUACACCUUAAGUAAAGUGAAAGCACUGAAACUGUUUUGUUUAUAGUUGUUGUUUACCCAUGUAUCUGUAAUAAGUAAGUUUUAUUGAUGACAUUACUGUAUUGAAAUAAACAAUUCAAUACAGAUCAAACCCUUUUUGGAGUUGGGUUGGUUUUUUUUUAAUUUAUUUAUUUUUUUACUUUUUGUUUCCCCCCUCGAAAAUACGUGACAUGUAGCGUUAAAUUUUACAUGCUCUAUAAAAAAAACAGUGGCGGAUCCAGAACUUUUUUUUUCGCGACAGUCAUACUUCAGUGAUUCCCUAUAUAAUCAACACAAUUUUUCCUACAAAAUGGUAGGUCUGGGCAAUCUAUCCCGCGUGGAUCCCCCUUUGUAAAUAUCAAAACGUACUGUACGACAAAAACAUUUCCCAUAGUAUACCAAUUUAUAUUCGAGACGUCUCUUUCCAAGUGUUCAUUUCAG